rnacentral:misc_RNA from 1 species
GAUGAAGAACGCAGCGAAAUGCGAUAAGUAAUGUGAAUUGCAGAAUUCAGUGAAUCAUCGAAUCUUUGAACGCACAUUGCGCCCGCCAGUAUUCUGGCGGGCAUGCCUGUUCGAGCGUCAUUACAACCCUCAGGCCCCCGGGCCUGGCGUUGGGGAUCGGCAGAAGCCCCCUGUGGGCACACGCCGUCCCUCAAAUACAGUGGCGGUCCCGCCGCAGCUUCCAUUGCGUAGUAGCUAACACCUCGCAACUGGAACGCGGCGCGGCCAUGCCGUAAAACCCCAACUUCUGAAUGUUGACCUCGGAUCAGGUAGGAAUACCCGCUGAACUUAAGCAUAUCAAUAAGCGGAGGA